CCUACGGUGGGCAGCAGUGAGGAAUAUUGGUCAAUGGGCGCGAGCCUGAACCAGCCAAGUAGCGUGAAGGAUGACUGCCCUACGGGUUGUCAACUUCUUUUAUAAAGGAAUAAAGUGAGGCACGUGUGCCUUUUUGUAUGUACUUUAUGAAUAAGGAUCGGCUAACUCCGUGCCAGCAGCCGCGGUAAUAAGGAGGAUCCGAGCGUUAUUCGGAUUUGUUGGGGUUAAAGGGAGCGUAGAUGGGGUGUUAAGUCAGUUGUGAAAGUUUGCGGCUCAAACGGAAAAUUGCCAUUGAUACUGGCAGUCUUGAGUACAGUUGAGGUAGGCGGAAUUCGUGGUUG
rnacentral:rRNA from 1 species